AAAGUUAAGAGUAGCACUGCAAGCAGUUUAAAUGAAUUAGGUCGACAAGAUAUUAUUAAGUUUGGAUCAAAAUACAGAUCUAGCCCAGACACUGUU